GCACAUUCCUGAGCACUAAACAAGUUAAAAUUUUGUAAAAUGUAACAAACUUGAGACAUCCAUGGAGCAAAAAGAAAACGGCCAAAAAAUACAAAGAUUCUAAAAUGUACUAGUGCAAGCACUCCAAAUAGCCCCGGAAAACUAUGAUUUUUCUCAUUUUAUUUUGAUCAUCAAUUAUAUUCCUUAGCUAACCCUACCUGUUUAU
rnacentral:misc_RNA from 1 species